CUCAGGGGUUGGUUAUAAAUCGUCGUCGUGAUCAGACUCACCAAAACGCCGCCAUUAGAUAUAGUGUUUCUUUUCGAAUAAUUAGGUAUCGAUUUUGUACUUAUUCCCAUCUAAUCACUGCUAAUCGGUAUUACUGCUUGCCAGCUAAUUUCAGGGAAAUGCGAGCACAACGAAAACAAGUACGAUGAUAAGUGCCACGGGACACGACCAGCUUCUCCGCCAGGAAAACAGGAAGUCUGCACGCGAUGCACUGAUCUCUUCGUAUGCCCAGACACGACGCCACCUGUAUCAUUUCAAAUUUUCAGGUGACUAAAACAAGUGACUUCUGCGAAGCAACUGGAAUGACCAAUCGCCAAACGAUCAACAUGGCGUCGUACUCGCGUUGGUGGGCGAAAUUCGAUUAUAAAGUCUAGCAUGCAGGUGAUGGUCAAGUAACAACUUUUACGAUUAUAUCACUUAAUGGACGAAGUACGUCUACAAUGUACCGUUGCCGCACGAGAAGAGUGAACUUGGCACAGUGACCAUGUUAAAAACCCUUUAGUAGUGUGUGUGCCUAACUUAGGUAUCGUAUUGUUCAUUCUUUUCGUGUGUCAAUGAUAAAUGUACGAUGUGUUGUUCAAGGUAAAUGUUAAAAUGAAUAUAAAAGAGACUAAUGACUAAACAGCAGGUGAUGCGAGAAAAAUGUAAACAAAAAUUCGUGUCAUUUUUCAUGCAGAAUAUAAGAGUGUGAAAAGUGUUUUUCCAAUUUUUCAAGAUCACCUUGUGAUUUUGAAACGAGGUAUUAUGUACUAUACUGUUGCUUCGGCACCAUGAAAGAACAAAAAAGGGCGAAUUCAAUAAAAUAAAAUUUGUUUUUAUUUAACUUUUCUAUCUUCAUAUUAUAAUAUCAAUGUUUUGGUUUAAUACUGUGUUAUAAUUGUUAAUACUGUUAAGUUAAGAUUAUACGUCUAAGUUAAUGUUACAGGUUAAUACAAAUAUUAAUUUAU